ACCAGCUGGUGGAACACCUGAUGACAGCUACGUUUCCCCAGCACCGAAAAGAGAUUAUUGGAGAUCAGCCACUCGUCGCAGAGGUCCUUUCCAGAUGGCCAGCUCUGUUCCUUGAGAGACAGAUAAGGGCAGAAUUCAAGAGAGUCGUCACCACAGACCUUCUCGAGUGUUUUCUUGACGGACUUGAUGGCCUGGUCCCAAGACUGCUGGAGGUCUACAAAGCUGCAACCAUGUCUGGAAUGAAGCAGGCACUCAAAGACAUUUUGAACUGUCUUGAGAAAGAUGACACAAAUGAAAGGAGGACUGCUGCUUUGCUUGGCCUGCCACAUUACAUAUCCGAAGAUCAUGUGUG